rnacentral:misc_RNA from 1 species
UUUCCGCAGGUGAACCUGCGGAAGGACCAUUAUUGUAUAACCGAGGUGCGAGGGCUGUCGCUGACCCGACUGGCCGUGCACGACGCAGUGCCUUCAGACACCACCAUCUCAUUCCUAUGUGCACCACCGCGUGGGUUCCCCCUUGGCAUGCUGGGAGGGGUGCUUACGUUCCCACACAAACUUGGGAGGCGGGGUAGAAUGAAUUUUUUGGUUUCGGGAUCACGCAAACAAUACAACUUGCAACAACGGACCUCUUGGCCGUCGCAUCGUAGAAGAACG